rnacentral:rRNA from 1 species
UACGAAGGGGGCUAGCGUUGUUCGGAAUUACUGGGCGUAAAGCGCACGUAGGCGGCUUUCUAAGUCGGGGGUGAAAUCCUGGAGCUCAACUCCGGAACUGCCUUUGAUACUGGCAAUCUUGAGACUGGAAGAGGUUAGUGGAAUUCCCAGUGUAGAGGUGAAAUUCGUAGAUAUUGGGAAGAACACCAGUGGCGAAGGCGGCUAACUGGUCCAGUACUGACGCUG